rnacentral:tRNA from 1 species
UUCCUGGUGGCUUAGUGGUUGGGGACUCAGCAUUGUUACUGCUGUGGUUCAGGUUCAAUCCCUGGCCUGAAAA